GACACUUUUACAAGGUACACAAUUGUCAACAAUUCCGUAGAGACUCAUAACGAGCUUUGAAGUUCACCAAUGCAAGCCCGCAAGGUUCUUCAGGAUACAUAUAUGUACAUUCCUUAAGGGAAAUUUAGCUACAAGUCUCAUCCAAAUGUAGCAUAGAUAUCUUGAAAUUUCGGUCAAGUGAAUAAUUCAGAAUUUUAUUGUCGGAAACCAUAUUCAUUUAAACCAUCACGCACGCACGCGCGCACGCACAUUCUAUUAUUUAUUUUGCCUUCUUCACUCAAGUAGAGCAUCACUUCAUACAAGUCGAGGACCCUGUCAUUUCCAAGACAAUCUUAAAAUAUAUCAUUAUGAGAAAAUUUCGAAAAAAAGACAGGCGUCGACAAAGAUAAUCGUUUUCAGAAAUUUUUAAGACUAAUAUCUGAAACAUUCUCCGAAAAAAGGUGCAAGAAUUACAUAAAUGCAUAUCAUCUCCAAUUUUGUGUACCAGCAACAAAUAAACUUAGAUAUUAAUUUCCCUUUUAGCACAUCCAUGUUAUUAUAGUAUUCUCCUUCAGUGAACGGUAAGCUCCAAUUCAAAAUCAGGCAAAUAAACUGGUACAAAGAGAAAUAAGUUAGACAUAUGUUGUAGCAUAAGAUUACAGUGAAGAAAUUGUAAAGCAAUAUCUUCUGACGAUCAUUGCAGAAUUUCUAUCAUUCCUAAACAAUAAGAUACUGAUGGAUAUUUUUGUAAAAAUCUCGUAUGAAAAGGGGAAUCAACAUCAAGAUGUUCUUCCUAUGCUUGAACAGCAAGCUCCUUGUUGGUUUAUGCAUCAAGAGGCAAUAAGCUUCAAAGAGUGAACAAAUACACCAAUAUAUCAGAGGUCAUAUUCCAGGGAAUAGCUUAAUAAAAAACAUUUGAAAGUUAUAAAAGCAAAAUUCAAUGGUAUGACUGAGCAGCUUGCUAUGGUUGAUUGGAGACAAUCUUCAGGACAUGAAAGCAAAAGUUACAGAGAGUUUGUGACAUUGUUGACACCGUUGCUUACCUUUUAUGCUUUGAACAAAAAAAAAGGAGUAGCUGCUAUAUAUUUUGCUUUGUUCUGUUUAUCAUAUGGAUAAUGUUACAAAUGAGUCGUACACAUUUGAAAAUUUUAUUUACAUCAUGGCACUCUGCAAUUAUUGCCGAGACUAUUUAUCAAUGGUGCUUGGCUGAAACGAGAACACACAACAGAGUGCACAACUGGAACCGAGAAUACAAUGAAAUGGAAUGGAAGGAAUUUAUAUAGACAGAACAUCCUGAUGAAGAAGCAUAGCCAACAUCUUUCCUCUCUACUUGAUCUAGGACCAGACGAAAUUGCACAUUGCACCACGAAAACAAAAACCAAUCUCUUCCCACAUAACCAAUGGCCGAUAGCAGCAUCAAUCCAAACUGUCUUUCAUACACGAGAACAAGAGUAUGCGAAUCCAUGAAAGGAGAAUUGGAAACUGAACACUGACCUUGGAUUGGGUUGGACUCCCCGUGAAGAACACAUGACGUUCUCUCUCUCUCUCGUGUGCUUGGCCUGUGUGGGGUGGGGGGUCUCUCUCUCUCUCUCGUUCACUUGUGUGCGUGGCCUGUGUGGGGUGGGGGAUGGAAGAAAGAAAACAAUGAGAUAGAAAUGUGUUCCAUCGCCGGCGAGGCACUUGUAGAGACCGUGAGGUGCCAGGGUCGCAGAGGAUGCGAAAGCGCAUGGAAAGGAGGAUCGUCGAGGUUGCAGUUGGUAAGGACUCGGUGGUCAGAGCGGCGACACGUUAGUGGAGGUUGAGUCGAUCGGGGAGGACGUGGGCAGCGGCGGAGGGGUAUCUAACGGCAAUGGGCGGAACGGCACAAGGGAUCGAUGGUGGGGCGGCAUGAGCGUGAUGCCUAGGGUCGGCCGGCGGCGCACUGGUGGGAUGCGGCGAGUCCAUAGCUGGAGGCAGCAACCUUCGGCGAGGUGCGGCUGUGG
rnacentral:lncRNA from 1 species